AUUGAACGCUGGCGGCAGGCCUAACACAUGCAAGUCGAACGAGUGCCGGACGGGUGAGUAAUGUCUGGGAAACUGCCUGAUGGAGGGGGAUAACUACUGGAAACGGUAGCUAAUACCGCAUACCAUCAGAUGUGCCCAGAUGGGAUUAGCUAGUUGGUGGGGUAACGGCUCACCAAGGCGACGAUCCCUAGCUGGUCUGAGGGGAUGACCAGCCACACUGGAACUGAGACACGGUCCAGCUGCCUACGGGAGGCAGCAGUGGGGAAUUUUGCACAAUGGGCGCAAGCCUGCUGCAGCCAUGCGGCGUGGAUGAAGAAGGCCUUCGGGUUGUAAAGUACGUUCAGCGGGGAGGCGUUACCCGCAGAAGAAGCACCGGCUAACUCCGUGCCAGCAGCCGCGGUAAUUC
rnacentral:rRNA from 1 species